rnacentral:rRNA from 1 species
GUGCCAGCCGCCGCGGUAAUACGUAGGGUGCGAGCGUUGUCCGGAAUUAUUGGGCGUAAAGGGCUCGUAGGCGGUUUGUCACGUCGGGAGUGAAAACUCGGGGCUCAACCCCGAGCCUGCUUCCGAUACGGGCUAACUAGAGGUAUGCAGGGGAGAACGGAAUUCCUGGUGUAGCGGUGAAAUGCGCAGAUAUCAGGAGGAACACCGGUGGCGAAGGCGGUUCUCUGGGCAUUACCUGACGCUGAGGAGCGAAAGUGUGGGGAGCGAACAGGAUUAGAUACCCUGGUAGUCCACACCGUAAACGUUGGGCGCUAGGUGUGGGACUCAUUCCACGAGUUCCGUGCCGCAGCUAACGCAUUAAGCGCCCCGCCUGGGGAGUACGGCCGCAAGGCUAAAACUCAAAUGAAUUGACGG